UACAGAGGUCUCAAGCGUUGUUCGGAAUCACUGGGCGUAAAGCGUGCGUAGGCUGUUUCGUAAGUCGUGUGUGAAAGGCGCGGGCUCAACCCGCGGACGGCACAUGAUACUGCGAGACUAGAGUAAUGGAGGGGGAACCGGAAUUCUCGGUGUAGCAGUGAAAUGCGUAGAUAUCGAGAGGAACACUCGUGGCGAAGGCGGGUUCCUGGACAUUAACUGACGCUGAGGCACGAAGGCCAGGGGAGCGA
rnacentral:rRNA from 1 species